rnacentral:rRNA from 1 species
GCCCGGAAAAGCUGCGCGAGGAGCCCCUCGACUGACCGUACCGCAAACCGACUCAGGUGGGCGGGGUGAGUAUCCCAAGGCGCGUGAGAGAACGCUGGUUAAGGAACUCGGCAAAUUAACACCGUAACUUCGGGAGAAGGUGUGCCCUUUGACGUGCAGGACUUUACGUCUGAAGCGUUGGGGGGUUGCAGAGAAACGGGGGUUGCGACUGUUUACUAAAAACACAGGACUCUGCGAACUCGCAAGAGGACGUAUAGGGUCUGACGCCUGCCCGGUGCUGGAAGGUUAAGGGGAGUUGUCAGCGUAAGCGAAGCAACGAACUGAAGCCCCAGUAAACGGCGGCCGUAACAAUAACGGUCCUAAGGUAGCGAAAUUCCUUGUCGGGUAAGUUCCGACCUGCACGAAUGGCGUAACGACAUCCCCACUGUCUCGACCAGCGACUCAGCGAAAUUGUAAUCGCGGUGAAGAUACCGUGUACCCGCGGCAAGACGGAAAGACCCCAUGAACCUUUACUGCAACUUGACAGUGAAGCUCGGGACAGACUGCGUAGGAUAGGUGGGAGGCUGUGAAGCCGGGAUUCUGGUCUCGGCUGAGCCAACCUUGAAAUACCACCCUGUUUGUUCUGGGCUUCUAACCCAGGCGUGUAAGCCACGCCGGGGACACUGUCUGGUGGGCAGUUUGACUGGGGCGGUCGCCUCCCAAAAAGUAACGGAGGCGCGCGACGGUUCCCUCAGGCUGAUUGGAAACCAGCCGUAGAGUGUAAUGGCAUAAGGGAGCUUGACUGUGAGACCGACAGGUCGAGCAGGUGCGAAAGCAGGUCAUAGUGAUCCGGCAGUUCUGUAUGGAAGGGCUGCCGCUCAUCGGACAAAAGGUACUCUGGGGAUAACAGGCUGAUCGCGCCUGAGAGUUCAUAUCGGCGGCGCGGUUUGGCACCUCGAUGUCGGCUCAUCGCAUCCUGGGGCUGGAGCAGGUCCCAAGGGUUUGGCUGUUCGCCAAUUAAGGCGGUACGCGAGCUGGGUUUAGAACGUCGUGAGACAGUUCGGUCCCUGUCUGCCGUGGGCGUAGGAUACUUGAGAGGGUCUAACCAUAGUACGAGAGGACCUGGUUGGACGUACCUCUGGUGAUCCGGUUGUUCCGCCUGGAGCAUCGCCGGGUAGCUAUGUACGGAAUGGAUAACCACUGAAAGCAUCUAAGUGGGAAGCCAGCCUCAAGAUGAGGUAUCCCGGGGCCUUGAGCCCCCUGAAGGCCCGUCGAAGACUACGACGUAAUAGGCUGGGUGUGGAAGCGCAGCAAUGUGUGGAGCUAACCAGUACUAAUCGGCCGUGAGGCUUGACCCA